CCUACGGGAGGCAGCAGUGAGGAAUAUUGGUCAAUGGACGCAAGUCUGAACCAGCCAUGCCGCGUGCAGGAAGACGGCCCUAUGAGUUGUAAAUUGCUUUUGUACGAGGGUAAACGCAGAUACGCGUACCUGUCUGCAAGUAUCGUACGAACAAGGAACGGCUAACCCCGUGCCAGCAGCCGCGGUAAUACGGAGGAUUCAAGCGUAAUCCGGAUUUAUUGGGCUUAUAGGGAGCGUAGGCCGGCUUUUAUGUUAGCUGUGAGAGUCCGCGGCGCAACCGUGGAAUUGCAGUUGAAACUGGAGGCAUUGAGUGUACAGAGGGAGGCGGGAGUUCAUGGUGUAGCGGGGUGA
rnacentral:rRNA from 1 species